GGACGAACGCUGGCGGCGUGCUUAACACAUGCAAGUCGAACGAUGAACCACUUCGGUGGGGAUUAGUGGCGAACGGGUGAGUAACACGUGGGCAAUCUGCCCUUCACUCUGGGACAAGCCCUGGAAACGGGGUCUAAUACCGGAUACGAGUUUCACAGGCAUCUGUGAUUCUGGAAAGCUCCGGCGGUGAAGGAUGAGCCCGCGGCCUAUCAGCUUGUUGGUGAGGUAAUGGCUCACCAAGGCGACGACGGGUAGCCGGCCUGAGAGGGCGACCGGCCACACUGGGACUGAGACACGGCCCAGACUCCUACGGGAGGCAGCAGUGGGGAAUAUUGCACAAUGGGCGAAAGCCUGAUGCAGCGACGCCGCGUGAGGGAUGACGGCCUUCGGGUUGUAAACCUCUUUCAGCAGGGAAGAAGCGAAAGUGACGGUACCUGCAGAAGAAGCGCCGGCUAACUACGUGCCAGCAGCCGCGGUAAUACGUAGGGCGCAAGCGUUGUCCGGAAUUAUUGGGCGUAAAGAGCUCGUAGGCGGCUUGUCACGUCGAUUGUGAAAGCCCGAGGCUUAACCUCGGGUCUGCAGUCGAUACGGGCUAGCUAGAGUGUGGUAGGGGAGAUCGGAAUUCCUGGUGUAGCGGUGAAAUGCGCAGAUAUCAGGAGGAACACCGGUGGCGAAGGCGGAUCUCUGGGCCAUUACUG
rnacentral:rRNA from 1 species